AUUACAUGCGAGAAGGCGAUAUAUGUAUAAUCAAUUCCCAAUAAUUCUGAUAAUUCGAAACUACCAUUCAUAGAACGGUCGAAAUAAAACCGAUAUUAUAUUUUGCUUUUCAGAGGUUCGACGUUAGGCUAAUUCGUUUUUCAUCGAUAUUACGAAUUUGAGAGAUGAAAGGGUACAAUAAAUUGUAUAUUUAUUUACAUUGAUCUAAAAUAUACGUGUAUGCAUGGAUGGACAAUUUAAAGCUUUCAGUUACAAGUAAAAAAUACAUAGAGAUCAUAAAAGAAAAUAUACGUUUAGUACGUGUGUAAAUAUAUAUCUUUCAAUAUAUAAUUAUAUAUAUAUAAAGUAAAAUUAUCGGUACUUCGCGGAUAUAUGUAUACAUAUAAAAUGAAUUUUUUUUUCAAAAUUUUUUUCGUUUUUAGAUCUUAAGUGCUUUAUGUUAAAUGUACAAACAAAAUCUACUUAUCAAAUUUUUUUUGAGAUAAUUAUAAAACAUUUAAUUUCUGUCGAUUUUUAUUACAUCAUAUUACACUGUACAAUCAUAUAAACGAUAUUAUUACAAACAUUAUAGCUGUGUCCAUUAAAUUAUUUUGAUAUUUGCUUACCCAAUUAACACAUAAAUUACUCCGUUCCUCUUUAAAUAUGAAAAUGAUUAGAAAUUUUAAUACAGUUUGUCUAUAAAUAUUUGUUUUUGUAAUAAGAACAAUAACUCUGCGCAUUGACAACCAGUAUAAGGAUAGUUUCAUUUUACAUGCUAUAAAUUUUACGUUUCAUGUAAAUUGAAUUUUUAACAUCUAUUAUUACAAAAAGACGUUCUAUUCGUUUCAAUAACUUUUUUUUUCUUUAAGUAAAUCUUAACCUUAAAUGUACAUUAUGUUAUUUUUAGAAAACCUAAUAAUGUAAGCAAUGUUAACCUUACCGCUAAUGACAUUCGUUAUAUGUUCGUAUUUAAAACGUUUAACGCGGCAGAUCGAAGAGGAAAAUGAAUACAAAAAG